GGUUAGUGUAGUGUAAUGUGGGUAGUAGUUAAUAUUAGGGGUGGUUAGUGUAGUGUAAUGUAGGUAGUAGUUAAUAUUAGGGGGUUAGUGUAGUGUAAUGUGGGUAGUAGUUAAUAUUAGGGGGGGUUAGUGUAGUGUAAUGUGGGUAGUAGUUAAUAUUAGGGGGUUAGUGUAGUGUACAGGUCAGUUAAUUUAGUUAUUCUUUAUUGAUUGUGUAAGGUAGAGGUUAACGUGUAGUGUAGGGUGUUCAGGUAAUGUAGGGGUAAAUCUGUAGUGUAAUGUGUUAGGGUAGUGAGUAGAGGGAGUAUUUCAGCUUCUAUUAACUUUCUCAUAGCUGUCACUCAGAAGUGUAUCUUUCACUAAUCCAGGGCACACCAAGCCAAGUAUCUCUCAGCUCUGAUUGGUUAUAAAAAGACGUCAUUGAUCUCAUAGGGUUUGUAAUGACAGGCUUAGAGAUAAUCAGAGUGAG